rnacentral:rRNA from 1 species
AUGCAAGUCGAACGAACGGAGGAAGAGCUUGCUCUUCCAAAGUUAGUGGCGGACGGGUGAGUAACACGUGGGCAACCUGCCUGUAAGUUGGGGAUAACUCCGGGAAACCGGGGCUAAUACCGAAUGAUAAAGUGUGGCGCAUGCCACGCUUUUGAAAGAUGGUUUCGGCUAUCGCUUACAGAUGGGCCCGCGGUGCAUUAGCUAGUUGGUAGGGUAAUGGCCUACCAAGGCAACGAUGCAUAGCCGACCGGAGAGGGUGAUCGGCCCCA